rnacentral:rRNA from 1 species
GACGAACCGUGCGAACGUUGUUCGGAAUUACUGGGCGUAAAGGGCGCGUAGGCGGCCUUCUAAGUCGAACGUGAAAUCCCCGGGCUCAACCCGGGAACUGCGUCCGAUACUGGAAGGCUUGAAUCCGGGAGAGGGAUGUGGAAUUCCAGGUGUAGCGGUGAAAUGCGUAGAUAUCUGGAGGAACACCGGUGGCGAAGGCGACAUCCUGGACCGGUAGUUGACGCUGAGGCGCGAAAGCCAGGGGAGCAAAGCGGG